rnacentral:rRNA from 1 species
UACGUAGGGUGCGAGCGUUUAAUCGGAAUUACUGGGCGUAAAGCGUGCGCAGGCGGUUCGUUGUGUCGGCGGUGAAAUCCCCGGGCUCAACCUGGGAAUGGCGAUGGAGACUGCAAGGCUAGAGUUUGGCAGAGGGGGGUAGAAUUCCACGUGUAGCAGUGAAAUGCGUAGAUAUGUGGAGGAAUACCGAUGGCGAAGGCAGCCCCCUGGGCCAAUACUGACGCUCAUGCACGAAAGCGUGGGGAGCAAACAGG